GUAUAAACAUGGCUCAGGAUGAACGCUAGCGGCAGGCUUAACACAUGCAAGUCGAGGGGCAGCGAGAUCAAAGCUUGCUUUGAUUGUCGGCGACCGGCGCACGGGUGCGUAACGCGUAUGCAACCUACCCACUACAGGGGGAUAACACUGAGAAAUCGGUACUAAUACCCCAUAAUAUCUUGAAGCAUCUUUCGAGGUUGAAAACUCCGGUGGUAGUGGAUGGGCAUGCGUUGUAUUAG
rnacentral:rRNA from 1 species